rnacentral:rRNA from 1 species
AUUGAACGCUGGCGGCAGGCCUAACACAUGCAAGUCGAGCGGAUGAAGGGAGCUUGCUCCUGGAUUCAGCGGCGGACGGGUGAGUAAUGCCUAGGAAUCUGCCUGGUAGUGGGGGAUAACGUCCGGAAACGGGCGCUAAUACCGCAUACGUCCUGAGGGAGAAAGUGGGGGAUCUUCGGACCUCGCGCUAUCAGAUGAGCCUAGGUCGGAUUAGCUAGUUGGGGGGGUAAAGGCCUACCAAGGCGACGAUCCGUAACUGGUCUGAGAGGAUGAUCAGUCACACUGGAACUGAGACACGGUCCAGACUCCUACGGGAGGCAGCAGUGGGGAAUAUUGGACAAUGGGCGAAAGCCUGAUCCAGCCAUGCCGCGUGUGUGAAGAAGGUCUUCGGAUUGUAAAGCACUUUAAGUUGGGAGGAAGGGCAGUAAGUUAAUACCUUGCUGUUUUGACGUUACCAACAGAAUAAGCACCGGCUAACUUCGUG